rnacentral:rRNA from 1 species
AGUGAACGCUGGCGGUAGGCCUAACACAUGCAAGUCGAACGGCAGCACAGUAAGAGCUUGCUCUUACGGGUGGCGAGUGGCGGACGGGUGAGGAAUACAUCGGAAUCUACUUUUUCGUGGGGGAUAACGUAGGGAAACUUACGCUAAUACCGCAUACGACCUACGGGUGAAAGCAGGGGAUCUUCGGACCUUGCGCGAUUGAAUGAGCCGAUGUCGGAUUAGCUAGUUGGCGGGGUAAAGGCCCACCAAGGCGACGAUCCGUAGCUGGUCUGAGAGGAUGAUCAGCCACACUGGAACUGAGACACGGUCCAGACUCCUACGAGAGGCAGCAGUGGGGAAUAUUGGACAAUGGGCGCAAGCCUGAUCCAGCCAUACCGCGUGGGUGAAGAAGGCCUGCGGGUUGUAAAGCCCUUUUGUUGGGAAAGAAAAGCAGCAGGUUAAUACCCCGCUGUUCUGACGGGACCCAAAGAAUAAGCACCGGCUAACUUCGG